rnacentral:rRNA from 1 species
CGGAGGGUGCAAGCGUUAUCCGGAUUCACUGGGUUUAAAGGGUGCGUAGGUGGGCAAGUAAGUCAGUGGUGAAAUCUCCGGGCUUAACCCGGAAACUGCCAUUGAUACUAUUUGUCUUGAAUACUGUGGAGGUCAGCGGAAUAUGUCAUGUAGCGGUGAAAUGCUUAGAUAUGACAUGGAACACCAAUUGCGAAGGCAGCUGGCUACACAAAUAUUGACACUGAGGCACGAAAGCGUGGGGAUCAAACAGGAUUAGAUACCCUGGUAGUCCACGCCCUAAACUAUGGAUACUCGACAUUUGCGAUAAACUGCAAGUGUCUGAGCGAAAGCAUUAAGUAUCCCACCUGGGAAGUACGAUCGCAAGAUUG